rnacentral:rRNA from 1 species
GACGAACGCUGGCGGCGUGCUUAACACAUGCAAGUCGAACGGAAAGGCCCUGCUUUUGUGGGGUGCUCGAGUGGCGAACGGGGGAGUAACACGUGAGUAACCUGCCCUUGACUUUGGGAUAACUUCAGGAAACUGGGGCUAAUACAGGAUAGGAGCUCCUGCUGCAUGGUGGGGGUUGGAAAGUUUCGGCGGUUGGGGAUGGACUGGCGGCUUAUCAGCUUGUUGGUGGGGUAGUGGCUUACCAAGGCUUUGACGGGUAGCCGGCCUGAGAGGGUGACCGGCGACAUGGGUACUGAGAGACGGCCCAGACUCCUACGGGAGGCAGCGGGGGGGAAUAUUGCACAAUGGGCGGAAGCCUGAUGCAGCAACGCCGCGUGCGGGAUGACGGCCUUCGGGUUGUAAACCGCUUUCGCCUGUGACGAAGCGUGAGUGACGGUAAUGGGUAAAGAAGCACCGGCUAACUACGUG